GAAAUGCCAUAAGUAAUGUGAAUUGCAGAAUUCAGUGAAUCAUCGAAUCUUUGAACGCACAUUGCGCCCCCUGGUAUUCCGGGGGGCAUGCCUGUUCGAGCGUCAUUUCACCACUCAAGCCUCGCUUGGUAUUGGGCAACGCGGUCCGCCGCGUGCCUCAAAUCGACCGGCUGGGUCUUCUGUCCCCUAAGCGUUGUGGAAACUAUUCGCUAAAGGGUGUUCGGGAGGCUACGCCGUAAAACAACCCCAUUUCUAAGGUUGACCUCGGAUCAGGUAGGGAUACCCGCUGAACUUAAGC
rnacentral:misc_RNA from 1 species